CCUACGGGCCGCAGCAGUGGGGAAUAUUGGACAAUGGGCGAAAGCCUGAUCCAGCAAUGCCGCGUGUGUGAAGAAGGUCUUCGGAUUGUAAAGCACUUUCGACGGGGACGAUGAUGACGGUACCCGUAGAAGGAGCCCCGGCUAACUUCGUGCCAGCAGCCGCAGUAAUACGAAGGGGGCUAGCGUUGCUCGGAAUGACUGGGCGUAAAGGGCGCGUAGGCGGUUUAUGCAGUCAGAUGUGAAAUCCCCGGGCUUAACCUGGGAACUGCAUUUGAGACGCAUAGACUAGAGGUCGAGAGAGGGUUGUGGAAUUCCCAGUGUAGAGGUGAAAUUCGUAGAUAUUGGGGAGAACACCGGUGGCGAAGGCGGCAACCUGGCUCGAUACUGACGCUGAGGCGCGAAAGCGUGAGGAGCAAACAGGAUUAGAUACCCCCGUAGUC
rnacentral:rRNA from 1 species